GACGAACGCUGGCGGCGUGCUUAACACAUGCAAGUCGAACGGAAAGGCCCUGCUUUUGUGGGGUGCUCGAGUGGCGAACGGGUGAGUAACACGUGAGUAACCUGCCCUUGACUUUGGGAUAACUUCAGGAAACUGGGGCUAAUACCGGAUAGGAGCUCCUGCUGCAUGGUGGGGUUGGAAAGUUUCGGCGGUUGGGGAUGGACUCGCGGCUUAUCAGCUUGUUGGUGGGGUAGUGGCUUACCAAGGCUUUGACGGGUAGCCGGCCUGAGAGGGUGACCGGCCACAUUGGGACUGAGAUACGGCCCAGACUCCUACGGGAGGCAACAGUGGGGAAUAUUGCACAAUGGGCGGAAGCCUGAUGCAGCAACGCCGCGUGCGGGAUGACGGCCUUCGGGUUGUAAACCGCUUUCGCCUGUGACGAAGCGUGAGUGACGGUAAUGGGUAAAGAAGCACCGGCUAACUACGUGCCAGCAGCCGCGGUGAUACGUAGGGUGCGAGCGUUGUCCGGAUUUAUUGGGCGUAAAGGGCUCGUAGGUGGUUGAUCGCGUCGGAAGUGUAAUCUUGGGGCUUAACCCUGAGCGUGCUUUCGAUACGGGUUGACUUGAGGAAGGUAGGGGAGAAUGGAAUUCCUGGUGGAGCGGUGGAAUGCGCAGAUAUCAGGAGGAACACCAGUGGCGAAGGCGGUUCUCUGGGCCUUUCCUGACGCUGAGGAGCGAAAGCGUGGGGAGCGAACAGGCUUAGAUACCCUGGUAGUCCACGCUGUAAACGGUGGGUACUAGGUGUGGGGUCCAUUCCACGGGUUCCGUGCCGUAGCUAACGCUUUAAGUACCCCGCCUGGGGAGUACGACCGCAAGGCUAAAACUCAAAGGAAUUGACGGGGCCCCGCACAAGCGGCGGAGCAUGCGGAUUAAUUCGAUGCAACGCGUAGAACCUUACCUGGGUUUGACAUGGAUCGGGAGUGCUCAGAGAUGGGUGUGCCUCUUUUGGGGUCGGUUCACAGGUGGUGCAUGGCUGUCGUCAGCUCGUGUCGUGAGAUGUUGGGUUAAGUCCCGCAACGAGCGCAACCCUUGUUCACUGUUGCCAGCACGUUAUGGUGGGGACUCAGUGGAGACCGCCGGGGUCAACUCGGAGGAAGGUGGGGAUGACGUCAAGUCAUCAUGCCCCUUAUGUCCAGGGCUUCACGCAUGCUACAAUGGCUGGUACAGAGAGUGGCGAGCCUGUGAGGGUGAGCGAAUCUCGGAAAGCCGGUCUCAGUUCGGAUUGGGGUCUGCAACUCGACCUCAUGAAGUCGGAGUCGCUAGUAAUCGCAGAUCAGCAACGCUGCGGUGAAUACGUUCCCGGG
rnacentral:rRNA from 1 species